GUUCAAGUUAAAUGGUAAAUAUUAGUUUUACCCUAAAAUGGGGAACUAAGAGAUCAAUAAGAUGAGUAUAAUAUUUAAUUAUCCACAAUGGAAAACCAAUUAUUUAACUUUCUAAGCAUUUGUCUUACUAAGGUAUGAAAAUCAUUUGCAGCUUGCGUGUGUAUGUAAGGAUAAUGGAAAGCACUGUCCGAGCCCAUACAUCCAUGUGUAUGCGCCUGGUCGAUCCGGUGCCAGUGAGGCAUUGUGCUUUACGAGCACUCAGCUCACUUGUAUCCUAUAAAAAUCUGGACCACAACCAAUCUUAUUUACAUUAUGCUAAAGAUUCGUUGAUCCAACUAUAAUCUGAUUAAUAACGUGAUAUUUUGAGAUCAGAUAGCUGAAAGUGAGUGUUCCUUCAAUCAAAACUUAUUACAAUUAAAAGGCCAAUUUUGAGUUGUUGGAUUGUCU
rnacentral:lncRNA from 1 species